rnacentral:rRNA from 1 species
CCUACGGGAGGCAGCAGUAGGGAAUUUUCCACAAUGGGCGCAAGCCUGAUGGAGCAACACCGCGUGAGUGAAGAAGGGUUUCGGCUCGUAAAGCUCUGUUGUUGGAGAAGAACGUGCGUGAGAGUAACUGUUCACGCAGUGACGGUAUCCAACCAGAAAGUCACGGCUAACUACGUGCCAGAAGCCGCGGUAAUACGUAGGUGGCAAGCGUUAUCCGGAUUGAUUGGGCGUAAAGCGAGCGCAGGCGGUCGCUUAGGUCUGAUGUGAACGCCGUCGGCUUAACCGAAGAAGUGCAUCGGAAACCGGGCGACUUGAGUGCAGAAGAGGACAGUGGAACUCCAUGUGUAGCGGUGGAAUGCGUAGAUAUAUGGAAGAACACCAGUGGCGAAGGCGGCUGUCUGGUCUGCAACUGACGCUGAGGCUCGAAAGCAUGGGUAGCGAACAGGAUUAGAUACCCUUGUAGUC